rnacentral:rRNA from 1 species
GACGAACGCUGGCGGCGUGCCUAAUACAUGCAAGUCGAACGCUGAAGGAGGAGCUUGCUUCCCUGGAUGAGUUGCGAACGGGUGAGUAACGCGUAGGGAACCUGCCUGGUAGCGGGGGAUAACUAUUGGAAACAAUGGCUAAUACCGCAUAAGAGUAGUUGUUGCAUGACAUUUGCUUAAAAGGUGCAAUUGCAUCACUACCAGAUGGACGUGCGUUGUAAUAUCUAGUUGGUGGGGUAACGGCUCACCAAGGCGACGAUACAUCGCCGGCCAGAGAGGGGGAUCGGCCAACCUGGGACUGGGAACCGGCCCAGACUCCCACCGGAGGGAGCAGGAGGGGAACCUCGGCAAUGGAGGGAAGUCUGACCGAGCAAAGCCGCGGGGGGGAAGAAGGGUUUCGGAACGGAAAGAUCUGUUGUAAGAGGAGAACGAGUGUGAUAGUGGAAAGUUCACACUGUGACGGUAUCUAACCAGAAAGGGACGGCUAACUACGUG